rnacentral:lncRNA from 1 species
CUGUACAACACGUGAGAGGAUAAAAGAUUAUUAACAGUAGCAGUUUCCAUUUAUUGAGAGCUUACUAUGGAGUAGGCACUGAACACUCACGAUAAUUCUAUGAAGUAUUAUUAUUAACCCCAUCUAUCAGUUGAAGAAAAAUGAGACCCAGAAAGGUUAAGCAAGUCAUUUAAAGUCACAGAACAAACAAGGUUCCUGGAUUUUCCUAUGCACCUGUAUCUGUGUGGACCCAAAGCCCCGGCACUUCACAAUGAACUCCAGCGUCCUCUAGAAAUCUAGGAACCGAAGGACUUCUUGACAAACUGCUCUACGACAGUAACGAGGCCUUAGAGCUGCAGCCAGACUGACUUCGAGUUUCGGCCGCAUCCUUUUCUGUGACCCUCAGCAGGUUCCUUCACUCUUUUGAGCCUCAGUUUCCCCAAUUGUAUAACGAGGGUAAAAAACCACGCCUUUCUCUCAGGGUUAUUGUGGGUAUUCAUUGAGAAGACGUGUGUGGAGCCCGGUGUCCGGCACCCAGUGAGAGCCUGGAACAAUCAUUAGGAUGUCUGAGUCCUUAUCACUCGUGCGCAGCACAACACGACCGUGGGCACAGGGUUGAAGGCGGUUCCCUACGCCUAGCCUCUCGAUAGGAACCUUCAGGGACGGGUGGACUUAAAGGAGCCGGUGGCCUUAAGAGUCCAGUCGAUGCUGCCACGUGAUGGGCCUGGGGGAAAGCCCCGAUCCCAAGCGCCAACAGAGCAGCCGACCUCAGCCAACCUCAACCAACACGUAGGCGAGGAUGCCCAGGGUGAGCGCCAGCGGCGAGAAGACGCGCUAUCGCGAGAUCGGUGGGACCUACGCGUUUACAGGCCGGAAGUGAGGGGCGGGCCUAAGGGGGCGCGCUCCUUUUGAAACCUGAGACGGAGACCUGCGGAGGGCGAGGGCUGGUUGGAGGUCGCUGUCCUUUCUGGGAACCAAGCAGGGGUCGCAGGAGGGCGGGGAUGGGUCAGCGGGGAUCUCUGAGUGGGGUUCGGCUGAGAGAGGCCACAGUUUCAUCUUUGGGAAGCUACCCUGGGCCGGCCACGCGCCGUGAGCCGGACUGGCGACGCCCCCCUGCCUCCACCGUGCUCCUUCACCCGAGAAAUUCAGCUCAGCCCCAGCCUCUCGGCAACCUCCCUUUGGCUCCGCCUUUUAAAGGACCUUUACGUAGCACCUACAAGAGGACCAACAUUCUCCAGGAAAUUCUGUCCUUUAAAACCAUGAGAUGAAUAAUCUUGGUCUGGAAGAUAUUCAUAGAAAGAAGCUUAGAAUGUUUGAUUUUUGAGCAUGAAUUAACUGUACAGUCAUCAAUUAAAUAAGCUGAUCCACUGAGUAAUUGUUGAGAUGAUCCUUCUGGAUGCUGAAUAAUGCUAGCCUAGAAUGGGGAUUUGACAUUGAUAUAUUCUUUCCUAUUAACAAAUCCAGUUUUCUUUCUUCCUCCCAUCCUCCCUCCUUCUUUCUUUCUUCCUUUCUUUUCCUUUCAUUUGCCUUCCUUUCCUUCCUUCCCUUCCCUUUCACAAUAUUUUACUUUAAAAAAAUUAUGAAAUCCAUCAUGUACACUUCAAUGUGUUAAAUAUAUAUGUACAUUUUAAAGAUUAAUAGUCCAGUGAACAUCUGUGUACCCACUACUCAGGGUGAGAAACAAAUAUAACGAUGGUCUCGUGUGUUCCUUGUGGGCUCUUCCCCAAUUCUUCCUUCUCCACAGAGACCACUUCCACCUGCCUUCUGUGGUAGUUAUCUUAUAAUCCUCUUCAUAAUUUCUUUCUUUUUUUUUUUUUUUGAGAUGGAGUCUCGCUCUGUCGCCCAGGCUGGAGUGCAGUGGCAUGAUCUCAGCUCACUGCAAGCUCUGCCUCCUGGGUUCAUGCCAUUCUCCUGCCUCAGCCUCCCGAGUAGCUGGGACUACAGGCACCCGCCACCACGCCUGGCUAAUAUUUGUAUUUUUAGUAGAGACUGGGUUUCACCGCAUUAGCCAGGAUGGUCUCGAUCUCCUGACCUCGUGAUCCGCCCGCCUUGGCCUCCCAAAGUGCUGGGAUUACAGGCGUGAGCCACCGUGCCUGGCCCCUCUUCAUAAUUUCUAACA